UCGACGAGGCGAAGGCAGCCGGUGGGGCUGCCUUUUUUCCCUUCUCCACGGUGGAAGCAUCAGACGGUCGGGGGCGGUUGGUGGGAGGAGGCAAGAGAGUCGCAGCUGCCUCUUUGACAGGUGCAGGGGGAACGACGCAAGCUCUCCGGUCAUGUCUACGGGGUGAAAGAGGAGAGAACGGGGCCGGUGAUGGUGCGGAGCGAGAAAAACACAUACAACGACGGAGAUGGAGACGAAGACAAGAAGAGGCGGACUGAAGUACGUGCUGCUAAAAAGCAGACGGCGGAGUGAGCAGCAGACGGAGACGGGAGACGUAGCAGAAGAGCGACCUGACCGCAGACAAGCUUGUGUGGGAAAAUAAAGCAAGUCAAACCUG